rnacentral:rRNA from 1 species
AGCGAACGCUGGCGGCAGGCUUAACACAUGCAAGUCGAGCGGGCACCUUCGGGUGUCAGCGGCAGACGGGUGAGUAACACGUGGGAACGUACCCUUUGGUUCGGAACAACUCUGGGAAACUGGAGCUAAUACCGGAUACGCCCUUAUGGGGAAAGGUUUACCGCCGAAGGAUCGGCCCGCGUCUGAUUAGCUAGUUGGUGAGGUAACGGCUCACCAAGGCGACGAUCAGUAGCUGGUCUGAGAGGAUGAUCAGCCACACUGGGACUGAGACACGGCCCAGACUCCUACGGGAGGCAGCAGUGGGGAAUAUUGGACAAUGGGCGCAAGCCUGAUCCAGCCAUGCCGCGUGAGUGAUGAAGGCCUUAGGGUUGUAAAGCUCUUUUGUCCGGGACGAUAAUGACGGUACCGGAAGAAUAAGCCCCGGCUAACUACGUGCCAGCAGCCGCCGUAAU